UACGGAGGGGGCUAGCGUUAUUCGGAAUUAUUGGGCGUAAAGGGCGCGUAGGCGGCCCGGUAAGUCAAAGGUGAAAUCCCCGGGCUCAACCUGGGAACUGCAUCUGUGACUGCAUUGCUGGAGUGCGGCAGAGGGGGAUGGAAUUCCGCGUGUAGCAGUGAAAUGCGUAGAUAUGCGGAGGAACACCGAUGGCGAAGGCAAUCCCCUGGGCCUGCACUGACGCUCAUGCACGAAAGCGUGGGGAGCAAACAGG
rnacentral:rRNA from 1 species